AGUUUUUUGUGAUUUAAUAAAAAAUUUUUUCUGCUCAAUGAUUUUAAAUAGCCGCGGUAAUUUGACUGUGCAAAGGUAGCAUAAUCAUUUGCCUCAUAAUUGGGGGCUUGUAUGAAUGGAAUAACGAAAGAAAUGCUUUUUUGGGGAAGAUAUAUUAAUUUGUUUUUUUAGUGAAGAAACUAAAAUUUCUAAAGAGGACAAGAAGACCCUUUUGAUCUUUACUUUUUAUAAUUUAAUAAGGUUUAAGAGAGUUUGGUUGGGGCGACCGAGGAAAAUAAUAAUCUUCCUUUAUUUAUUUUGAUCCAGGGGUUUUGAAAAUAAGAGCAAGUUACCAAAGGGAUAACAGCGUAAUUUUUUUUGUGAGCUCUAAUUAAAAAAGAAGAUUGCGACCUCGAUGUUGACUUAUAGUUUCCCUUAGGUGCAGAAGCUUAAAGGGUGGGUCUGUUCGACCUUUAAAACUUUACGUGAGUUGAGUUCAGACCGGCGUGA
rnacentral:rRNA from 1 species